rnacentral:lncRNA from 1 species
GAUAUGGUAGGUCGGGUUAGAUAAAAAUAAAUGCAUUAGCCCCAAAGCAAUCAUUUCAUAAUUGGUAAUAAAAACAAAAUAUGUUAUUUUGGUUUUUGGAGCUCAUGUUUUCUUUAUCUUUGCAUUGCCCUUGGUCCACAAGUAGUUAGAGAAUGUAUGUAGGUAUCAUAGAAAAGCAAAUAUGAGUAACUUUUUAUCAAAAUGAUUUAGUCGGUAACUUCGUUGGAAUGACUUCUAACAUUUGUAACAAAGAUCUCACUAUACAUAAACUCCCAAACCACCAUACAACAAAGAAAAAGCAGUUGGGCAAAACUAAUAAAUCUUGUGGCACAGCUAAAUACUGAAACUCAACUAUGAUAAUUUUUUGGAAAUGAUUUUAAUGAAAAAUUUCUGUUUGUAUAUAAUGGAUGUUGAAAUUAGAUCGAGAUUGAAAAAGAAUCCAUUUGCACUCAAAUCUUGCAGCCUAAAAUUGCUUCCAAAUUUAGAUCGCAUGUCCAGGUAUCCUAUCACGGUUGUCAAAUCGCAUGUCCAGGUAUCCUAUCACGGUUGUCUGCCUAAUUCUGAUCAAUCGAUUGUUUACAUUAAUGAGGCUCGCUUCUAGCCAACAACUACCAAGCAGCAAUUGGCCAUUUUUUUCAAAAGUCCAAAUCAACUGCUAAACGAACAACCCAAAAACCCGAGCACCCUAUCGCAUAAUCACAGAGCAUCAAAAGGAACUAAGGAAGAUCGAAAUGAGCAACCCAUAUCUGAGCAAAAGAUUGUGGGCUUUAGUGUCAAGGACCGUGCUGGUGAGGGAUGAGGGCUCAAAGAGACGAAGACCUCCACUAGGAUAAUCAUGUUCUUGGGGAAUGAGCGUAGGUGCAAUGAUGGAGGGGAUGAGCAGCCAUUCGAUGAUCGAUGUGACAAUGGCUGAAGGGAGGAGUGUGGAGCACUGUGGCUGAGGCAAAUGGGGCACAGACCAUCGAAUAAGGGACUCGAGUUGUCAAGUGACAGUGGUGGGGAGGGGAAGUGAAGAGUUUGUUUAGGGUUAUAUUGUAUAAGAUGAGGUUUGGGAUGGUUCUUACCAUUACCCGCACUUGGCAUGAAUACACUUCGAGUAUCAGAAUUAAAAUUCAUCCCCGGCCCCAACUUUAAAUUGGUUAGAUAAAACCCUC